rnacentral:lncRNA from 1 species
UCCUCCAGGGCCUGAGUGGAUGGGAGGGCUAAUAUUAUGAGUCAACUUGACUGGGCCGCAUGGUGCUCAGAUAUUUGGUUAAACAUUAUUUCUGGGUGUGUCUGUGAGAUGUUUCUGGAUGAGGUUAACAUUUGAUUUGGAAGACUGAGUAAAGCAGAUUGCCCUCCCCAGUGUGGGUGAGCCUCAUGCAAUCUAUUGAAGGCCUAAAGAGGAAAAAAGGCUGAUUUGUUUGGGACAGAAAUUCUGGAGCAGCGUGGCUGGGUGGUUCUGGCUCAGGGUCUCUCAUUAGCUUGCCUCCAAUGUCAGCCAGGGCUGCAGUCAUCUGAAGCCUUGACUGGGGCUGAGAGAGGAGGAUCUACUCUCAAGGUGGAUCACUCACUGGCAGGUGAAGACACAACAGUAAGACAGCCAUCUGCAAGCCAGGAAGAGAGCCCUCACAAGGAAUCAAAUCAGCCAGAACCUUGAUCUUGGACUUCCCAGCCUCCAGAACUGUGAAAAAUAAAAUAAAUUUUGUUGUUUAAGCUACGCAGUUGAUGGCAUUUUGUUGUGGCAGUUCAAGCAGACUGAUAGACCAUAUUAUAAAGAUUCCCUUUGCUCUAUUUUCUAAUAUCAUCUUUCUUACUUUCCAUUAAGCACUCAUGGAUAGCCUUCUUGCAGUGCUGGUUGUAAUCCCAA